AAAUUGAAGAGUUUGAUCAUGGCUCAGAUUGAACGCUGGCGGCAGGCCUAACACAUGCAAGUCGAACGGUAGCACAGAGAGCUUGCUCUCGGGUGACGAGUGGCGGACGGGUGAGUAAUGUCUGGGAAACUGCCUGAUGGAGGGGGAUAACUACUGGAAACGGUGGCUAAUACCGCAUAACGUCGCAAGACCAAAGAGGGGGACCUUCGGGCCUCUUGCCAUCAGAUGUGCCCAGAUGGGAUUAGCUGGUUGGUGAGGUAACGGCUCACCAAGGCGACGAUCCCUAGCUGGUCUGAGAGGAUGACCAGCCACACUGGA
rnacentral:rRNA from 1 species